rnacentral:misc_RNA from 1 species
AAGUCGUAACAAGGUUUCAGUAGGUGAACCUGCGGAAGGAUCAUUAACACGUAUCCAAACGUUAAAACCCCCCCCCGUGAACCUUCAUCCUGCUCUUGUAACCCGCGUAGUUCGCAAUCUCUGAUAAAUCAUAGCCCGGAAAGUUGUAGUGAUUCAGAGACCUCUGGCUACGUGCGAACAUUGGAACAGGUACAAUCGAGUUUAAUGUGAAGCUCAGUGUAAUACAUUGGGUAAAAAAACCGAACAGCUGUUAACAAUGGAUAUCUUGGUUCUC